AAAAAGAUUGCUGGCCACAAUCCUUCAAAUCAAUUUCAUGACACAUUAAUGGGUUGUGAUUCUGAGUUUGUAAAUAAUUGGUCUGUUUGGACAUUGAAGUUACCCACGAUGACGGCAAGACUUGGAAUGAAGUGGUGCCAAAGUCUUCAAUGAAUAUGGAGGGGCAGAGGCACAGCUCCAUGCAUUUGUCCUCGUGAAUGGCCUGUGAUUUCAGCACAAUCUAUUAGGGAGACCUGGUUACUCACGAGGCC
rnacentral:lncRNA from 1 species